AAAAAUUUAUCUAUUUGUACUAUUAAAAAUUGAUGUGGUUAACAAAAUAACCAAAUAGUAACAUAUGACGUGCCAUGUACACCUCAUGCUAACGUAUAAGGACCAAUUUUUAACAGCAGAAAUAUAUGAAAUUUU
rnacentral:pre_miRNA from 1 species